ACUCAAAGGAAUUGACGGGGAGCCGCACAAGCGGUGGAGCAUGUGGAUUAAUUCGAUACUAACCGAAGAACCUUACCCAGGUUUGACAUCAAUGGAAAGGGCGUGAAAGCGCUCCCCCCCCACAAGGGGCCAGAAGACACUUGUUGCAUGGCUGUCGUCAGCUCGUGCCGUGAGGUGUACGGUUAAGUCCGCCAACGAGCGCAACCCACGUUUUGUGUUACCAGCGAGUAAAGUCGGGGACUCACAAGAGACCGCCGGUGUAAGCCGGAGGAAGGUGUGGAUGACGUCAAGUCGGCAUGGCAGUUACGCCUGGGGCUUCACACAUGCUACAAUGGACACAACAGAGGGCAGCAAUACCGCGAGGUGGAGCGAAUCCCAGAAAUAUGUCCCCAGUUCAGAUUAGAGUCUGCAACUCGACUCUAUGAAGGCGGAAUCGCUAGUAAACGCAGGUCAGCUAUACUGCGUUGAAUACGUUCCCGGCUCUUGCACACACCGCCCGU
rnacentral:rRNA from 1 species